UACGUAGGGACCAAGCGUUGUUCGGAUUUACUGGGCGUAAAGGGCGCGUAGGCGGCACCGCAAGUCGACUGUGAAAUCUCCGGGCUUAACCCGGAGCGGUCAAGUGAUACUGUCGUGCUAGAGUGCGGAAGGGGCUACUGGAAUUCUCGGUGUAGCGGUGAAAUGCUUAGAUAUGACAUAGAACACCAAUUGCGAAGGCAGCUCGCUACACAUAUAUUGACUCUGAGGCACGAAAGCGUGGGGAUCAAACAGG
rnacentral:rRNA from 1 species